rnacentral:rRNA from 1 species
UUGAUCCUGGCUCAGGACGAACGCUGGCGGCGUGCCUAAUACAUGCAAGUAGAACGCUGAAGAGAGGAGCUUGCUCUUCUUGGAAGAGUUGCGAACGGGUGAGUAACGCGUAGGUAACCUGCCUACUAGCGGGGGAUAACUAUUGGAAACGAUAGCUAAUACCGCAUAACAGCAUUUAACCCAUGUUAGAUGCUUGAAAGGAGCAAUUGCUUCACUAGUAGAUGGACCUGCGUUGUAUUAGCUAGUUGGUGAGGUAACGGCUCACCAAGGCGACGAUACAUAGCCGACCUGAGAGGGUGAUCGGCCACACUGGGACUGAGACACGGCCCAGACUCCUACGGGAGGCAGCAGUAGGGAAUCUUCGGCAAUGGGGGCAACCCUGACCGAGCAACGCCGCGUGAGUGAAGAAGGUUUUCGGAUCGUAAAGCUCUGUUGUAAGAGAAGAACGUGUGUGAGAGUGGAAAGUUCACACAGUGACGGUAACUUACCAGAAAGGGACGGCUAACUACGUGCCAGCAGCCGCGGUAAUACGUAGGUCCCGAGCGUUGUCCGGAUUUAUUGGGCGUAAAGCGAGCGCAGGCGGUUUAAUAAGUCUGAAGUUAAAGGCAGUGGCUUAACCAUUGUUCGCUUUGGAAACUGUUAGACUUGAGUGCAGAAGGGGAGAGUGGAAUUCCAUGUGUAGCGGUGAAAUGCGUAGAUAUAUGGAGGAACACCGGUGGCGAAAGCGGCUCUCUGGUCUGUAACUGACGCUGAGGCUCGAAAGCGUGGGGAGCAAACAGGAUUAGAUACCCUGGUAGUCCACGCCGUAAACGAUGAGUGCUAGGUGUUAGGCCCUUUCCGGGGCUUAGUGCCGCAGCUAACGCAUUAAGCACUCCGCCUGGGGAGUACGACCGCAAGGUUGAAACUCAAAUGAAUUGACGGAAG